UUGAACGCUGGCGGUAUGCUUAACACAUGCAAGUCGAACGGAGACGAUACUAGCUUGCUAGUAGGCGUCGAGUGGCGGACGGGUGAGUAACGCGUAGGAAUCUACCUGAUAGAGGGGGAUAGCCCGAAGAAAUUCGGAUUAAUACCGCAUAAUCUAUUCGUAGUAAAGUGGGGGACUUUCGAGCCUCACGCUAUCAGAUGAGCCUGCGUAAGAUUAGCUAGUUGGUAGGGUAAAAGCCUACCAAGGCGACGAUCUUUAGCUGGUCUGAGAGGAUGAUCAGCCACAUCGGGACUGAGACACGGCCCGAACUCCUACGGGAGGCAGCAGUGGGGAAUAUUGGACAAUGGGGGCAACCCUGAUCCAGCAAUACCGCGUGUGUGAAGAAGGCCUGAGGGUUGUAAAGCACUUUCAAUUGUGAAGAAAAGCUAGUGGUUAAUAGCCAUUAGCCUUGACAUUAACUUUAGAAGAAGCACCGGCUAACUCCGUGCCAGCAGCCGCGGUAAUACGGAGGGUGCAAGCGUUAAUCGGAAUUACUGGGCGUAAAGCGUGCGUAGGCGGUUUAUUAAGUCAGAUGUGAAAGCCCCGGGCUUAACCUGGGAACUGCAUUUGAAACUGGUCAACUAGAGUAUGGUAGAGGAAAGUGGAAUUUCUGGUGUAGCGGUGAAAUGCGUAGAUAUCAGAAGGAACAUCAAUGGCGAAGGCAACUUUCUGGACCAAUACUGACGCUGAGGUACGAAAGCGUGGGUAGCAAACAGGAUUAGAUACCCUGGUAGUCCACGCCGUAAACGAUGAUAACUAGCCGUUGGGGGGAUUUACCCCUUAGUGGCGAAGCUAACGCGUUAAGUUAUCCGCCUGGGGAGUACGGCCGCAAGGUUAAAACUCAAAGGAAUUGACGGGGACCCGCACAAGCGGUGGAGCAUGUGGUUUAAUUCGAUGCAACGCGAAGAACCUUACCUGGUCUUGACAUACUUGUCGCGGAUUCCAGAGAUGGAUUCCUUCAGCUCGGCUGGACAAUGUACAGGUGCUGCAUGGCUGUCGUCAGCUCGUGUCGUGAGAUGUUCGGUUAAGUCCGGCAACGAGCGCAACCCACGUCCUUAGUUACCAGCAUUUAGUUGGGUACCCUAAGGAGACUGCCGGUGAUAAGCCGGAGGAAGGUGUGGACGACGUCAAGUCAUCAUGGCCCUUACGGGUUGGGCUACACACGUGCUACAAUGGCAUCUACAGUGAGUU
rnacentral:rRNA from 1 species